GGAGGACAGCGUAUGUUGUCAACUUUGAUGAUUUGCUGGAUACAGGCAGGCAACCACAUUAACAAAGCUGAAGAUAAUCAUCAAGAAACAUGUUGCUGGGUGCUGUCUCUAAGAAAUUGAUUGCCCAAAAUGCAUGAAAUGUGCUGCAUCACUCAUAGACAAAGCAAAGUA